UACGUAGGUGGCAAGCGUUGUCCGGAAUUAUUGGGCGUAAAGCGCGCGCAGGCGGUCCUUUAAGUCUGAUGUGAAAGCCCACGGCUCAACCGUGGAGGGUCAUUGGAAACUGGGGGACUUGAGUGCAGAAGAGGAAAGCGGAAUUCCACGUGUAGCGGUGAAAUGCGUAGAGAUGUGGAGGAACACCAGGGGCGAAGGCGGCUUUCUGGUCUGUAACUGACGCUGAGGCGCGAAAGCGUGGGGAGCAAACAGG
rnacentral:rRNA from 1 species